AUACACAGAGGUAUUUUCUCAAGGCAUGCUAAUUUAAAAAAAAAAAAAAAAAAAGACCUGGAAAAUCACUUGUAGUUUUAGAGGAUUCAGAGAACUUUCAGAAAACAACAACUUUGGAAUUGUUGUAGCAGCUGUUAUAAUCUAUUAUGUAAAUCAUCUGGGAAUUAAAACAAAAUAUUUUGUAAGGCAGUUUUUGUCAAAUAAUAAAUGUGCUAUCAGUUAGACUUAAUGUUUUUCCAGGGGUGUUAUUAUCUGAUGCAAGUGAAACCUUAGAGUACUCCUUAUUUUGACUGAUGAGGAUUUAAUAUUUAUUUAUAGCUGUGCCAAUGAUAACACCCGUGUAUCUGUUCAAGAGAACAUAUGUUUCUCAAAAUUGGGUGUUGGAACUUACACUGUUGAUUCAUACCAAGUUAUAUUUGUCUUUAAGGUGUCACCUAAAUAUUCUCACCAAAUUAAAUCAGAGAUACUAGGAGAUAAAUAUGUGAAAAAAACCUCCAAAAGCCGUGUCUUUGGUCAGAUUGUUAUUUACUUUCAUGUUCACUUAUAUGACUAUAAGUCCCUUUGCAGAAAGUCAGUGGUUACACUUCCUUGCUUGAGUGUUAUAAACCGGCGUUUAAAAGAACAAGAAUCAGGCCCUUUAAUUCAUUUUUGCCCUUCUAUAUGGGGUAUUUGUUGCUGCUGCUGGUGCAACGUGUCAGUUCAUCAGCCUGUUGACUAAAGUACAGUAUGAUUUCACUAAUGACUGGGAUGCAGACUGCAGAUUAUCACAUUUUGCAAAUUAGUGAGUAAUCAAACAAACACCAUAAAAAUCAAGGAUACUGCAUAAUGAAAUAUACUUUAUUCAGUUAUUUUUACAACCAUAUAUUAGUUUUAAUUAUUUGUGUUAAUAAUUCAUUGGGUGCUAACACAUGGAAUGUGUUUUUUAAAAAAAUAUGUUUUAGAAGCCAAAGCCCUUGUUGUAGGACUCUCAUAUUCAGUCCUUUGUGAGAAGAUGGGUGAGUGCUUCUUUCUUCACUGAGGGUCCUGUUCCAGAGAUAAUCCCUGAGAAGAUCUUAAAGUCCUUGCAGUCAGCCUGAUCCAUCCUUGUAGAGAGGCUGAGGAUGAGUGGCUGUCACCUUGGGAAGGUCACUGUAGCUGGGCUGGCUGCUUGCCUGUUUUGGCUUCCAAAGAGCUGAUGAAGAGAAACUCAUUCUGGGCAGAUUAGAGCAGGAGCCUGACUUGGGUGCUCUUGGCCACUCACUGGAGGAAAUCUACCCGUCCUGCUCCUUCACUUCCCUCCUUCCACCUCCUUUCCCGGUCCCUAGAGCAAGCACAGAGCAUGAGUAACACCAGAUUGUAUCCUUUACCCACCUUUUUCUUGUGUAACAGCUAGUAAUGAAUCAGGGACUGCAAGCUGCUCUACCAGGCAGCAGUUGCCUGCAGGGAGGGCAGUGGUCUCCAGUUCAUGCAUCCCUGGGUUCCCUUUUGAGACAUCCACCUUCAGCGCCAAUUGCUGCCUGCUGCCCAGCUGGGCAGAAAUCCUGCAUUCUGUGUCUGUGGGAUGAAUCCAGUCUCUCCUGAGCUCAGUUUGGAUCUCUGACAUGGAGGAGAACAUCCCCCCAGGGUCUUUAUUUCUUGCCGUACCUUUAAGAAACAUACUGGUUUUUAGAAGUGCCAAGGUUAGUGAGAACUGCAGCUACCUAACAACCAGAAGUCACUACAAACGGUUGAGUAUGAACCAUAAAGGCAUUGUGAAGCUUUGCCAUAAAAAGAGUACUCUCUUAAUCUGCUAAGUCUGACUGUCUGUCAGUGCAGCUGGGGACAAACUGGCCUGAUCAGACUUAACCCUUCGGCAUCAGUGCACCCAUGUCAAGAACGACUUAUAUUUCAAUCAUUUUGCAGGUUUAAGCGGGGGCCAAAUAGAACCCAGGUCAUCCAAAGACUCCUACAAACACACAGCUGACUUUCUCCCCUUCAAACCUAGCCAAUGGUUGUGCUUUUUCCCUUGGCAAGUGGGUGUGUGAGAAAUAUGACUAUUUCUAAAUAAGAAAACCUCAGACAUUUACAUGAGAACAUCUCUCAAGGUCAUAAAAUAUGUGUGCCGAAGACAAAAGGAUAAUAAUUUGACCAUAAUUUGUGUGGGGGCUUUCAGCAAGAAAGUGGAAUGCAUAUUUUAAAUACAUUUUUUUGUCUAGUAAUUUAAUUUCUCAGGAAAUGCUGCCAUUAAUAUUUUAUUUUGAGCACUGGGGUGCAAGUGGUAUUACCCAUGUUUCUCUUUACUCCUUGACAGUACAUUCAACACCAAACACUUGUUCCAGUAACAUAUUUGUCCCCUGGUAAACGCAUUUUUUUUUUGUUUUUUUUGUUUUCUUUUACUUUGUCUCUCUGUCUUUCCUCCCCCUCCCACCCAGCAUCCCUCACUUAUAAAAAGAACUAAUGUUUAGAAAGGCUGGAAAAAUAACAAGAUGGAGUGACACAUGAAAAACUGUGAUUUUUCCCAGUGAAAUUAGAAACAGGGUCUCUUUAACAUGGAAAUUUGAUUUCUUCACAAUUUGAAGACUUAUUUCUGCAACUGUCACAUACGUAAAAUUUCCAGUGAAGUCAAAGAGGCCUUUGAAUACAAAGAAACAGCACAAUCAAGCUCUGAAUAUAUAUAUUCCAUACGCCUUUCUCUCUCUCCCAGUGAUGUACAUGCUACAGUAAUUUCAUUCAGAUAAAACUGUCAUAAUUUUAAUUUUUACAGUCCUUAAACUGUUUAAAAUAAUAAAAUUAAUAAAAACAA